GUUUUCCUUUGACAACACGCCGAGUCGCACACGCUUUAAAUCUCGGCCCGAUUCAAUUCGAUUUGCAGUGGGCCAACAAAAUCGAGAACUCAAAAACAAAAUCGCGUUUGCAUGCGACAAAAAUCUUUCAGCGAGUGUGUGAAUGUUGCUAAAUUUAUAAAUAACAGCUUAAGUUGUGCUGCUCCCAAAGUAAAUUGAAAUAAAAGCAAAAGUGAUGCGUUCGCCGUCGUCGUCGUCGUCGUGAGCAGGGAAAACGGAGAUGGAAAAUGGGAAAAUAGGAAAAUAAGAAAAAUAUCAACGCAUAAAUAAAGCGUGGCGUUCGCGUCCGAUUCUGUCGCAUUUGCCGGCUGCAUUCCCAAAUAGAUCGGGGCGCUAUAGCCUAUAGCUGGUUGUAUGCCCGUUGGCACUUCGGUGCGAGUAUAUAUCCCCAACCUGGCCGGUGCGUGCCGGUGGAUUAUGUAAAGUGGCACACGGCCGAACCCCAUACCAUUAUCUCGCUAUAUCGUCGAGCGCGAAAAAAACAAAGGAAACGGAAUGAAAGUUUACCGAAGGAAUAAAUGAAAUGAAAAUAAAAUAAAAUAAAAAAUAAAAUAGAAUACAGAGAGUGUCGUGGAAGAUCGCUAGAAAUUUGUAGCACGCGCGCGAUUUCAGUAAGUGCAUCUAAUUUAUUUUGCAUCUAUUGCAAUUGAGAGGCGUUCGCCGAGUGCAUCCGCCAGAUACGUUUUCGUAAUUGUCGUCAGUGGUUCGAGUUGCUCCGUUUCGAUCGCGCGAGUGUCCGCCAGAUUGGAUUACCAGCCAGGCCCAAAAUAAAUUAUACAAUUCUGAAGCGGGCACAACAUAUUGCGAACAAAUUUUGAUCGGAACGAUCGAGGAUCGCCUGCCAAAAGCAACGUAAUGUCGUCCUACCGCAGUUAUACCCCUUGGAAGACGAGCUUGGGCAGUUCCUACAAGCCUGCCAGUUCUUCGUAUGGCACCUCCGGUGAUUCCACAUCGCGAUACACUUCGCUGGCCACGCCUAGCUCCUACAGACCCUCGUUUUCUGGAGGAACGUACCGCCUCAAAAGGGAUCCACCACCACCAUCAGUCACAAGUACUCCAGUUACGAGCUAUGUCAGUCGCUAUGCCAAGACAGAGCCCAAAGAAGCAGCUCCAAGUGAGCGAACUAGUCCAGUUAAAAGAUAUACGGGUACGUCAACCAGUUCGCUUGGCAAAUAUGUGAGAUCUCGAGAUCCCAGUCCAGUGGCGCUGGAACACACUAACCGCAACAAAUCGAGAGACCCAAGUCCCGUCAACGACAGUGCCAGGAGUAAACUGGGAGCCACAUACCGCGGUGGUAAUACGACCACCUCCAGUUCAUCCUCUUCGGGCACGAGAAACGCAUACAGCAGUCGCUAUGGAGCGGGUUCUCGGAUCUCGGGAAACGGAAGUGCCCUUUCCUACCUGACCACCAGUGACUUCCAUGCCAGAACUGCCAGCAGGGCCAAGGCCAGCAGAGAAAGGGAGCGGGAGAAGGAGAAGGAGCUGGAGCUGGAGAUCGAGGAGAAGCCCAGCGAGGUAUCCAAUGGCAAGGACAAGACUCCCGAGAAGGAGAAGGAAAAACAUCCAGCAGACGACACAGAAACCAAUGAGACCUUCAUCACCAUUUCCGUAGUCACUAGAGCCACUUCGCCAACCCUACCGGGCAGCACCACCGUUCAGCGAACCCGUCGCAUUGAUCCGGCCAAGACGAUCGAGAAGACCAUCCAAAGAUCCACCAAAAAGCGGGAGACGACGGAUCAGGAGAUUCAGUCGGAUAGACUGGACGAUUCCAGCAGAUAUCUUCGCUACAGUGCAGGCAGUAGUAUAGGCUCGACCUAUAGUCCACACAGGGAUAGGAUCAGCAGUCUGCGUUACAGCGCCAGUCCAUUGAACAGUUCAGGAUCAGCGAAAUCCAGUUCAGUGGGUGAAGGAAAACCGAUUCAGUCAAUACCAGAAGCCGUGUCACCAGCUAGAACCAAUGGUUCGGUGAGCUCGGCCAAGUCCUCGGAAGCUCUGUCGCCGCCAAGAACAAAUGGAUCUGUGAGUUCUGCGAAAUCCACUGAGCUCCUUUCGCCACCCAGAAGUAAUGGUUCAGUGAACACUUCAAAGUCACCAGAAGCUGUCUCACCGCCCAGGACAAAUGGCUCUUCGAGCUCUUCGAAGUCCACAAAGUCCAAGCUCUCACCGCCAAAGGCCAUACGCCUGAACUCACGGCAAUCUUCGGUGGAGAACUUGGUGAACAAGCCACCGGCACCACCCAACAAGGCGGACUCACCCACCAAGACCUGCAGUUCCAGUUCGGGCAGUUCGGCGGUAAAGUGGCCGAACAAGGACUUUCGCAAGUCGUCUCUAAAUGUGGGACCCACGGACAGGCCUCGAAAGUCGCGAACUCCGAGUAGCGGCGGGGAAUCCGAGGAUCUACCCAAUGGUAGUAGUUUGGAGCGAUCACCCAGUGCCGGAUCCGAGGGUAGCUUGGCUUCAGCUGGCUCAUCCAAGAAGUCAAACAAACUGAGCAACGGCAAGGUGUCUGGUGGCAGUUCGAAGCCAAAGAGCCACAAAUCGUGCAGCGAAACCACCACCAGCACCACCGGCAACUCAUCCUCGGCCACCGCCUCCGCUUCGGAUAGCGAGCAGCGGGUCAAGACCGUGAAAAAGCAAGCCAAAAAGAAGGGAGGAGCUGGCAAGGUCGCCGUCGCCGGUGCUACCGCCCACAACAAGCCAAAUAGCACCACUGAAUCACCGCCCGCCGUGGCCGAUGUGGUGCCAGCGACACAGACAAGACUGAAGAAGCUAUCGGCGGUAUCGAAUUUUUUCGCCAGCCGUCAGCAAGACGCAAAUAACGAGCCGAUCUUCCUCGAAAGCUCCGAGAGCUCGGGCGAACCGGAGGCGCUUUCGCUGCCAGUGAUCUCGGGCAUAUCGAAAAUCUCUGGGAUCAGUCUGAAUACAGAUUUGCGAACGAACGAACCGCGAACGACGCCAUCGAGCGAAGCGAAACCCUCACCUCCAACGAAUUCCCAGAGUUCGAGCACACGUUGUCCGCGGGAGAGCACCACGGGAACAGGGACUAGACGGCCCACCACCACCAGCAUCAGCACCAUUAGCACCACCCAGGAGACGAGUCUCACCACGACUGCCAGCUUGACCACCUCCGAGCAGGACGAUCCCAGUUGGUGGCAGGACACCAGUUUGCAGAUAAACACGGCCUCUGCUUUGGAUCAGAAUAACCGAGGCGAGAUGCCGCCGUACAGGCUGAGGCACAUCGAUUCUGGGGAGGAGCAGGCCUGGUGGCUGCGCCAGGAUGAACAGGGCGAUGAGGACGACACUCUGGCGGAGGAGACUCUCAAUCCGCUAGAUGACGAUGCCGCCCAGGAGCCGAGCAAAGGCACCUGGUGGAGCCAGGAGGAGCAGGACUCCAGUAGUCAGGUGAAGCUGAUGCCCAGGAGCAGACUGUCGCCGGAAAAAGAUGCCUGGUGGCUGGAGGAGGAGGAGGAGCAGGCCGAAGGGUCUCCCAAGGAGCAAGUGAACGAUGUCAACAACAACAGCGAGCCACAUGUAGAGGUGACCCUGAAAUUACCCUCGAACGGCAGUCAGCGGAGUUCCAAGGCUAGUGUCUCGAAAAGUGUAGGCAGCUCCAAGAGUAAUGGAUCCAAUCCUUGGUGGCUAUCCGGACCCGCCCGCAAGAUGUUCAAUGUGCAGCGCGUGGAGUCCGGCGAAAGAGCAUGGUGGCAGGAAGAGCCCGAGGAGCCACCUCAAGAGGAAAAGGAGAACGAACCGCCGCCGGUGAAGCCACCCACUCCACCACCGCGAAUCAUCCGGCACUGGGAGUCCGGGGAGCGGGCCUGGUGGCUGCAGGAGGACUCAGCUCAGCCCGCGGGCGAGGAUGUGGAGCAGCCAGUGAGUCAGCAGGACUCCAGGGAUGAAGUGGAUCUCAGGCUGGCUGCACCAUCACCACAUCCAUUGGCAUCUCAAGAGCUGAGCAGCUCUUUCAACUUUAAUGCCUCCUCAGAACGACCUCCUCCCCUGGGUCAAUGCGCCAGUCCCGUGCGCUGCCCCUCGCCCUACGACAACAUUCCAAGGUCGCAAGUGCAGGAGGCACCACCACCGCUCAUGUCCACGCCCCCUGCCACCCUGACCCCUCUGCAGCCGCGCUUUUCACCACAAACACGACGGGCCGGCGAAAAGCUCUUCAUCUCGCGGCACCAAAACAUCGACGAGCUGCUGGGCGGGGCCUGCCGCCCCCUCAGUCCGCUGUUCUACGGGAACACCCAUCCUGCGGAGGCUGAGCUGACUCCUUUGGCCAGCAAGAACAUGUUCCUGCUCGAGGAGGUCACCCCCGACCAGGUGCGAAUCCACGACAGCACCGCCCAACUGCCGGUCAUCCAAAGAAUGCAGCGCGAUGUCGAGUGGUUGGAGAAUGGCAGCAGCUUUUACGAGCAACCCAAGCAUCAACAACAACAACAACAACAACAACAACAACAACAACAGCAGCCGCGCAGGAUCGAUGAUGCGGCCAUUCAGGUGUACAAGGAUGGCGACUACGGAGCCUACCUGGAUCUGGAGUCAUCGCUGGCCGAGCAGACCGAGGAAAUCGAGGGACUCAACGUGAGCCGCAAGAACUCUCUGGUGGUGCGAACGCAGCUGAAUGUGCGCGUGCACGCUAUAAUUGAGAAACUCCUAUCCGCGGAGGGCAGCGACCUGCGGCGCGCUCUCUUCUCGCUGAAGCAGGUGUUCCAGGAGGAUAAGGAUCUGGUGCACGCCUUCGUGGCCCUCGGCGGCCUCAAUUGCCUGGUGCGCGUGGGCAAUUGUGCGGAUCAAAACUAUCAGAAUUACAUUCUGCGGGCCCUCGGUCAGGUCAUGCUCUAUGUGGACGGCAUGAACGGCGUGAUGAAGCAUGAGCCGACGAUGCAGUGGCUCUACUCGCUGAUUGCCUCCAAUUACCGAUCCGUGGUGAAGACCGCCCUCAAGUUGUUGCUGGUCUUCGUGGAGUACGCCGAGACCAACUGCUAUGCGCUGGUCAGUGCCAUUCACGCGGUGGACGGCUCCCAGGGCACUCUGCCCUGGUCGAAUAUAAUGAGACUGCUUAAGGACUAUGACAAUGCCGAUGCCGAGUUGGUAAUCUACGCCACUUCGCUGAUCAACAAAACACUAGCGGGCCUGAACGAUCAGGAUAGUUUCUAUGACGAGAGCGAUCUUCUGGAGCAACAGGGCAUGGAAACCGUGAUCCAGCGAUAUAUGUCCAAGCCGGGCACUGACUUGGAUCUCCUGGAUCAGCUGCAACUGUACGAGGCUGUGCUGAAAUUUGAGGAUGGUGAGUCGGACGGACAGCGUUUGCCGCAGAAUUCAAUGCGUAAAACGCAGCGUUAUCGUCCGGGGACAAACACCACCGAAAGGCGCAAGUCUCGACGUCACAGCACUGACAAUAGCCCCGCCCCCUUGACCAAGGUCCUGCCCACCACAGUCCUUCGGAUGACGCCCACCCAGGGCACCUUGGAUGAGGAUAGUUCCGGAUCCACCAACUCCACGGAAUUCAGCGGGGGACUGUUUAAUGAAAAGAAACCUCGCGAUGGAGCAGGCGUAACUCCAGGACUUCGCAGGAGACGAGAGCGGGCGGAGCGGCACAAGAGCUUCCUGAAGGAGCAACAAGAGGCGGCGGCCAAUGGCAUAUUUGCUGCUCUAGAGCAGCGCGAAGGUCUGGGCCAAAUAGUAACUGCCAUACCCGCCACCAUCCAAGUCGGCGACAGUCCGCCCGAGUCUUUGCAACACGAGGAGCCGCCGUGCAACAACCUCAACGGAAUCGGCAGCCUCAGUAACAACAAUGUGAGCAGUCUCAGCUGCAAUGACACGCCGAACAACAGCCUGCUGCUGAUGAGUCCCAGCAAGCAAUUGCUGACCGGCAGCCACAGCAUCUCCAUCAUAAACAACAGCUUCGACAAGGCGAGCAAUAACAACCAGAGCGAGUUCCUGACGAAGAAGAAUCUGUUUCGGGAGCGCAAUUCAACUGUGAUCAGUGGCAUUAUGAAGAACAUCCAGCAAACCGAUAGUGCCUACAAGAAGUACGAGAACGAGGCGAAUCGGCUGAACAACUACUACAGUCAGUCGCCCAAACACCAGAUCCAUCAGCCCAUGCAGCCCGCACCGGAAGUGCUGUUGAGUCCCAAGAAAACGCUGAAUGCCUCGGGAUUUGACUUUGCUCCCGCUCCGCUGAGCUCCACCCCCGUUAAGUGUGAUGUCCUGCCCGAGCCGGAGCCACUGAGUCCGGUUAGGAAGCCCGUGGCGGCCCACCCACCGCCACCUCCACCGCCUCCGCCACCACCACCGCCCCCUGGCUGGUGGCACGCCCCCAUCUACAGCAGCCCGCCCGCAGCUCGAACCCUAACCAGUACUAACCCAGAUCUGCUGCCGCGUCCUGUGGAUCCUUCAGAUAUGGAGCACGAGGACAAGCAGCUGCUGCAGCAGCUGAAGCGGGACCACACCGUCAAGGACCUCACCCAGAAGCUGAGCAACCUGCCCAUGAGUCCCACCCAGGAAUCCGCCAAUCGAGCCCUCGUCGGCGACAUGUCCGGCCUCAUUUCGAAAGCCAAAGAGGGUCUGGCCAAGAGCAAGAGCAAAGGAGAGAUAUCCAGGUCUUCGAGUGUGGACCAGGACCUGAAGAAGUCUGAGCCCAAGAAGUCGGAGAACGAACUUCACUGGGAGGAGCUGGUUAGGAACAGGACGAGGCCCCUGAAUCUCUGCGACCUGGACUUCACGGAUCUGAGGGAUGAUGACGAGAAGGAUGUGCUGGCUCCUCGUAGUCUGGGCGCCGGUAUACCCCCUCCGCCACCGCCCCUGGGCGGAGCCAUUGCCCCACCACCCAUGAUGCCGCCCAGCCUGGCACCGCCGCCCAUGUUCGGAUAUGGCGGCAGUCUCACCAACAGCGUCAACUCGCUGAACGGAUCUAUAAAUGGGGAGCUGGUCAACGGGAAUAACACCAUCAAAAAGAACAAGAAGACGGUCAAGCUCUUCUGGAAGGAAGUGCGCGAGGACAUGAUACCACAGGUGGUGGGCAAGACCAUUUGGGAUGAGUUGCCCGAUGCCAAUGUGGACACCCAGAAGCUCGAGCAUCUCUUUGAGUCCCGGGCCAAAGACUUGAUGACCAAGAAACAACAAGAGCUGAACAAGAGCAAAGAGAUCAUCGUGCUCGACCACAAGCGCUCCAAUGCCAUCAACAUAGCGAUCACCAAGCUCCCUCCUCCGCGGGCCAUCAAAACAGCCAUCCUCAAGAUGGACGCCACUGUGGUCACGCGCGAGGGCAUCGACAAGCUGCUCAACAUGCUGCCCACCGACGAGGAGCGGGGCAAGAUUCAGGAGGCGCAGCUGUCCAAUCCCGAGCUGCCCCUGGGCAGUGCCGAGCAGUUCCUGCUGACCCUGGCCUCCAUUUCGGAGCUGGAGGCCCGCCUCAAACUGUGGGCCUUCCGCCUGGACUUUGACAACAGCGAGAAAGAGAUUGCGGAACCCCUGAUGGAUCUCAAGCAAGGCAUUGAGAUCCUGCGUCAGAACCGCACCUUCCGCAGCAUCCUCUCCACGCUGCUCUCCGUGGGCAUCUUCCUGAACGGAGCUCCGGUCAAGGGAUUCCAGAUCGAGUACCUGGCCAAGGUGCCGGAGGUGAAGGACACAGUGCACAAGCACUCGCUGCUGCACCACCUUUGCCACAUGGUCAUGGAGUCGAGCAGCGACACCAGCGAUCUCUACUCGGAGAUUGGACCCAUCACGCGAGCCUCCAAGGCGGACUUCACAGACUUGGCCCACAAUCUCAACCAACUGGAGGCGGAAUGCAAGGCGUGCUGGGAUCGUCUGAAACUGAUUGCCAAACACGACUGUCCGCCGCCGCUGAAGCAAAAGUUGGUGGACUUCCUGGCCGACUGUGCGGAGCGCAUCAUCAUCCUGCAAAUCGUCCACCGGCGGGUGAUGAACCGCUACCGCAAGUUCCUCCUCUGGCUGGGCAUGCCGCAGCACAGUGUGGCGGAGUCGCGGCCCAACGAGUUCUGCCGGACACUGUCCGAAUUCGCACUGGAGUACCGCACCACCAGGGAGCGAGUGCAGCAGCAGCUGGAGAAGAAGGCCAACCACCGCGAGAGGAACAAGACGCGCGGCAAGCUGAUCAUCGACAUGGCCAAGUUCAAGACCAAAGAUGACGUGGCCGACGACGAACUGAAAAAAUUGCUAGACACAUCUAGUGCAGAUCAGGCUGAUGGAACGCUCACCUGGCGGAGAAGGCGGGCGGAGCAGCUCCGUUCGCCGAUCACCCGCCAGAGUGAGGAGCAGUUCACCGACGGUGACGAUGAGAUAUUGGAAUCUCUUGUGAAAACCGCCACAAAGGCACCCGGAACCCGGACAACUCCAAGGGAACGGAAACGGACGCGUCACGCGGAUCGCAAAUCAUUGAAGCGCAGCCGCACGCGCGAAGGAUUCACAGUUGAAAGAGCACCAUCGCCGUAGAAAGCGUUACUGUUAACCGUAUCCGUAACCGUUGCCAAAAGAACAGCCAACUGUUUUUUAGGUUUUACCUUUUUUGUGCGUCGCACGCUGAAGAACGGUUUGACCGAAGAGGAAAAACAGCACGUGGCUGCCUUAAUACAAACCUAUUAGGAUUAGGCGAUUACCGCAUCACGUAGAUACCCGCAUCACAUCCGAGAUAAUCCCAUCCCCAGUGACGUCACAAGUCGGGCACUACGCGCACAGACUGAAAUUGGCGAUCUCAGGCGAGCAAGCGAACCCAGAAAAUCCCUUUUAUACGACAACGUGCGCAUCAUCAGUACUGCAACGAUAUACUUGUAUAAGUACCAACAACAUCAACGAAAAUGUCCUUAAACAAAAGCGUUUUUCCUCGUGUUUUUCUGUUAUUUAAUUUUUUGUUUUUGCUUCAGCUAAGUAUUAUUAAUUAAACGUAAUUCAAAAAACCUGUAUUAGUAGUUGAAAACGAUUUCAAUGUUACAAUUUCGAUCACAAGAAAUUUCGAUAUCCCGACCCACAUCAUUAAAAUUUGUACCAAAAUA